rnacentral:rRNA from 1 species
AUGUGGUGCGAGCUUCGUUUUGCGGUGUUCACCCACAAGGUACCCACCUAUGGUCCAUAUCUAUUCCUCCUGAUAUCGAAGACUUGGGAGAAGCUCUAUCCCAUUGAGGAGUUUUUGGCCCCUGACUGGAUCCGUCAUGACCCCAUCAAACUCCGCAUCAAGCCCCAGUGGGCUAACACUACUACUCGAGCCGAGGCUGAGGCUGCUAAGAGGACUGCUGAUGAGGAGGAGAUUGAGGAGGAGAAUGUAGCUGAGGACAGCUCUGCUGGAUAUGCACCUCCCUCCACUGAGCCCUCAUGGGAGAAGAAGCUGAAGGCCAAGAUGAAGGCCUUGUUCUGCAUGCAGGCCAAGGGGCAGUACUGGACUCAUGUUGCCUCCAAGGAGAGUCGCCUCCACGACAAGAAGAUCAUGAGGGUUUUUGGAGAGGAUGUUUCUGGCGGCUCCGAGGAGCACAUCACUCUAGAGGCCGAAUGGAUGGCAAAACAAGGCUACAAGUGGACUGAUUCUGAGGAGGAGCCCAUCCCCGCUGCCGAGUCCGACGAAGACCGUGCGAGUGACUACUCUGCUUGA